rnacentral:snoRNA from 1 species
CUGCAUUUCUCUCAAAAUUAAAUAAAUAAAAUUUUUUUAAAAAGAGGCUAACACAGAAAAGUAAAUUAAAUCUCCAUAAAACCCAGGGAAGAGAUUGCAAAGCUCUUCUUUAGAUCCUUUCUGGAGUCACAGCA